rnacentral:misc_RNA from 1 species
GUUUGAUACGAGUUGAAGUCCAGGAACAAGUAAGGCCGAUGGCCAUAUCAAAGAUUACAUAAACCUGGUUAUAAAGCCCAAAUCAAUGACCUAACACAACAGACCUAACAGCCAACCCACCCCAGCCCACAAAACAAUCAGAUGAACCCUGUUUGAUACGAGUUGGGAUCUGAAGUCAAAGACCCGGGAAGAAGAGAAACCAUGCCACAUGCAAGGCGCUAUCUUCGCCGGAUCGAUCACCAAGAGGGAACAACACUUACUGAAGAACAUCGCUAGGACAUGCAUGGCAUUUCUGCCUCAUUUUUGGUUUGUAACUGUUUAUCAACACAUGAACUCAGUGGUCUCGUUUAAGUCAUCCCCUUAUUCUUCAAAUCAGGAGUUUGGGAUUUCUCUCUAACAAAUGUUGGAAAAAUAUGUGGAAUUUGCACAAUUGAUAGAGUAAAAUCAUGGAUUUUGCUUUUGGGCAUAAAAACUUGAGAAUGAUCUAACAAAAUGUUAACUGAAAUUUGUAGGUUUUGGUUCCAGCCAGAGUUUUGGAUUCAAAAA